AUAUGAUUCAUUAAUAUUUCAUCAAUUAUUUGUAUAUUAACAUUUCAUCAAUUAAGGAUAAUUAUAAUCAUAAUUGAUUACUAGACCAAUUAUUCAUAUUCACUGUUUCAUUCUUUCAUUUUGUUAAUUUUUUUAUAAAAUUUUAAAAUAUAUUUACCUAAUAUGUAAAAUAAUUAGAUUUUAAAUUUAGACUCUCAGUAUCAAUCAUUACAAGAUUAAUUCUAUUUGAAUAUUCUCGCGCCGAUCCUCCUCUAUACAUAUCACCUUUGCAAUCUCCAUGCCACCGAUCCCAUCCGUGAGUAUUUUUUUUCAAAUAUAAUAUUUUUUUUAUAUAGAUUUGAGUGAUUUGGCGAGAAUUAGUAAUAUUUUGAGGUUAAUUAGAAUUUUUUUUGUUCAAUUUGAGCGAUUUGGUAUGAAUAGAUGACAUUUUGAAAUGCUAUAUGUUAUAGAAAUGCUAUAUGUUACUUGCACAAUUAUUGUUCGUACUACAUUACACAUUCCAGACUAAAUGAAUGAAUAAUCUAUAUUGUAUAUAUUAGUAUAUUUCUAUAUACUCUAAUUAGGAUUUAUUUAAAAUAAUUUUUUUUCCUGUUGCAUCGAUUGCUAUAUAAUUGACUAUAUUGUACCCUUUUGACAUAGUAAUAUUUUAUUUAGUUAUAUUAAUAUUUUAUUAUUUAAAAUUUUUUUACUUUAGCAGUAAUUAUCCACCGCAUCGCGCGGGUGCGUACACUAGUAUUUAUAUUAUUUUGAAUAGUAUUUUUUGUAUAGAUUAUAAGAAAUGGACAGGAUAGUGAUGGAACCCUGACGUAGGGAGAAUAAAUGGAAUAACUUGAAAUGUUGAGGGAGUGAAAUGUAGAUUUUUGAAAGUUAGAAAAAGUGAAAAAAUAGAUAUUUAUAAAGAAGAGUUUUCUGUAAUUUAGUCAAAACUUUUACUUAUUUAUAUUACUAUUCUAAAUUUUUAAAUUUAUUCUGAAAUUAUUAACAUGUCCUUUUAUAGUCCAUUUGAUUAGUAAAUCCUAGGUAAAAUAGGAGUAUCUAAAGAAUUUUUUUUAUUUUUGGAUUAAUUUUAUACUGCUCUUUGUAAACAUAUUGAAUAACAAAUAUAUUUCUACAAAGUUUAAUUUUUUAUAUUUAUUCCUGUAAAAAUUCAACAAUAUUCUUAUAAUAUUCAUAUUUGUUUCUCUGAUUUAUUAUUAUUAUAGCACUAUUUACUUUUUACCCGAAGAUAAGUGAAAUGACAUUUUUGUCAUCAUAUAUAUGUCCCUCCAAAAGCCCAAACUGUUAGAAUUUAUAGAAAUAUGCUCCCAAAAAUCUCUAACAGUCAUCUUCUUUCUUUUUAUCAUCACAAAUAAUAUAAAAAUGGUAAAAAUAUUAAUUUACCUCAUUUACUAAUUAGGGUAAAAUAUUCUACCAAUGGUUAAUUAUAUUUUUCUAACGGAUCCUAACAUCGGGAGUACAUUUGAAAAUGUUAGAACUUUUGUAAAGAUAAAUAUUAAAAGUUAAACUC
rnacentral:lncRNA from 1 species